rnacentral:tRNA from 2 species
UCCGGGGUAGCUCAAUCAGGCAGAGCAUUCGACUGUUAAUCGAAGGGUUGUGGGUUCGAGUCCCACCCCCGGAG